CUCUCAGAUCAGGCAAUCAUUUCUGGCAGUACCAAUCACCCUGAAAACAUUUCCAGUGAAACUGCCUUGUAUCCUAUGCUUUCAGAACUUGAUAGUGAACAGUAUGUGGAGCUGAAUGAUAUUCUUUUUACUGGGAUUAGUAACCUCCCUGAUACCAUCAUGCUAAAUGAUCCAUUUGCUUGGAAUCCAUCAGCUCAUUUUCCCAAUUUUCAGGAUCUGACUUACAUACCUGAUCCAAUCUCAUACUUAAAUAACGAAGCUAUCACUGCUAUGUAUGAUCCUCUUCAAGCAGGACCUUGUAUCAUGGGGGAACAACCUUCAUUGAAUAUGCA
rnacentral:lncRNA from 1 species